UACGUAGGGGGCAAGCGUUGUCCGGAUUUAUUGGGCGUAAAGGGCGCGCAGGCGGCGCUUCAAGUCCGUUGUGAAAUUUCAGGGCUUAACCCUGACGGGUCAACGGAAACUGAAGGGCUAGAGUGCAGCAGAGGAAAGCGGAAUUCCCGGUGUAGUGGUGAAAUGCGUAGAUAUCGGGAGGAACACCAGUGGCGAAGGCGACUAUCUGGGCUUUAACUGACGCUGAGGCGCGAAGGCCGGGGGAGCAAACAGG
rnacentral:rRNA from 1 species